UAAAAAUAUCCAAUUACAGAUAUAUUUCUACGAAGUUCAACUUUUCAUAUUUAUUUCUGAAAAAGUCCUUACGUUUUCGAAUAUACCCCUACUGCUAUGAUUUGUUUGAAAAAUAUAAUUAGCAAAAAAUAAAAUACUUUUUUGAGAGAGAAAUGUAGCACGUUACCUACUUCAUUAAUUAGGUAAAUGAACUUAGCUACAUAGGGUGAGACGGUUAGGGUCUCAAGGAAGACGACAAAACAAAAGAAAAAGGAACAAAAAACUGAGCAUAAAAAAAGCGAAAACAUGCGUCGGAACCAAAAGGUGUAACAAAAGCAACAUCACCCGACUCUACAAAAAUCAGUCCACUCCUUCGUCAGAACUCUAAUGCGAUGAGCACUAGGGAAAACAUUCAGGGGUAGGUUUCGAAAAAUAACGUUAUUACUUUCGCACCAAAUCAUCCACCAGAUGGCCGCCACAAAGGAUUUGAGGCUUCAAAGUGUCAGUCUGUGAUUCCCUCCUUGUCAGCUCUUUCCAGACGAACUUGGCGUCCUCAAUAGGUAAAAUACUUAAUUCUAGUUAGUGAAUGAUGUAAGUUGACUUUUUUACCUUUCUAAUAUUAUUUGUGAUGACAAAAAAUAAAAAGAUAAUUACCAUUAAAGAUUGUUGGGAAGAUAUUUCUGUAUAAUUAUAACAGUUGGCGAGUCUUAAAGUAACAUCUUUGUGAUAAUAAAAAUAUCAUUUUAUUUAUUAUCUUUUAAAAAAUAUACAGCAUUCUAAUGGUAAUAAAUCAGAACGACAAAUAUUAAUAUCACUGAAUUUUUUACAUGCAUAUAUAUAAAAAAUUAAAUUUUGCAAAGGAUAUAUUUGAUAUUCGAUAUAUUUAUUG
rnacentral:lncRNA from 1 species